GUAUUGGGUUGGGGCCUUUCUUCAGACUGAUUGUAGUAGGGGGGAGAAAGCCUGAAAAGAGAGUUGGGGGUUGGCCAAAGCCUGGUAAGUGAUAGGUGGAUACAAAGUGCUGGAGUAACA